rnacentral:rRNA from 1 species
GACGAACCGUGCGAGCGUUGUUCGGAAUCACUGGGCUUAAAGGGCGCGUAGGCGGGUGGGCUUGUCCGGGGUGAAAGCCUCCCGCUCAACGGGAGAAGAGCCUCGGAAACGGGCCGUCUCGAGGGGGAUAGGGGCAUGUGGAACUUCCGGUGGAGCGGUGAAAUGCGUAGAUAUCGGAAGGAACGCCGGUGGCGAAAGCGACGUGCUGGGUCCCUUCUGACGCUGAGGCGCGAAAGCCAGGGGAGCAAACGGG